UACGGAGGGGGCUAGCGUUGUUCGGAAUUACUGGGCGUAAAGCGCGCGUAGGCGGCUUUGUAAGUUAGAGGUGAAAGCCCGGGGCUCAACCCCGGAAUUGCCUUUAAGACUGCAUCGCUUGAAUCCGGGAGAGGUGAGUGGAAUUCCGAGUGUAGAGGUGAAAUUCGUAGAUAUUCGGAAGAACACCAGUGGCGAAGGCGGCUCACUGGACCGGCAUUGACGCUGAGGUGCGGAAGCGUGGGGAGCAAACAGG
rnacentral:rRNA from 1 species